rnacentral:lncRNA from 1 species
GCAUUCCUCAGAAAGGGGGCUCCACGUAGGCCAUGGUGGGCAAAAGUCCAGAGGAGGGCAGGGCUGGGGAUGGUGCGGGGCCACUAGUGCCCUAGUCAAGGCCACUCCAAGCAGCCUGCACUGUGGUGACUGGUCUGUCACCUCUGCCCAGAGACCGCAUGGCCCACAGUGCCUGUCUGGCCCUUUCUAGAUUGUUUGGGCCCCUUGUGCUGCAGUAGUAGGAAUGCUAAUCAGGUGCGUGGCCUCCUCCUUCCUUCCUUCCUUCCUUCUCUCCUUCUUUGCUUUCUUUUAUGGUGCUGGGGAUUGUCACACUGAGCUACUGUCACACUGAGCUACAUCCCUAGCCCUUUCUAAUUUAUUUUUUAAUUUUUGAGACAGUGUCUCAGUAAAUUGCCCAGGCUGGGCUUGAAUUUGUGACCCUCCUUGCCUCAGCCUCCCAGAGUGCUGGGAUUACAGGCGUGCGCCACCACCGCUGGCUCAGGAUGCUAUUUCUGAGUGCUCCCCAUAUAUCAGCAGCGAUCCUUAGGACUUAACCUGAGUUCUUCCACCUACUUCCCAAAUCCAGCAGUGAGGGAGACGCCAUGAUGGUCCCAUUUGUGAACUGAUGCUCAUCGUUGUUGAGGAACUUGCAUAGGUCACCAGCCAGGACGCCGAGAGCCCAGCCUUGAGGCCGACUCACUGGACUCUAAUCCCUGCUGUCUCAUCCCUGCCACGAGCAUGUGCCUGACAAGCAAGAGGCACAACCUUUCCUAAUGGGUACCCUGAGGUCAGGAGAGAGGAGAACAGUUCCACUCCCCACCUUGCUCCUCUCUUGCCAGCAUUUCUUCCUUGCCGCAUUUUCUCUUCUUUCCUAGGCUUGGAAAAUUGAUAGAAUAAUCACAGUCAUUCCAGCAUGGUUCCACAGCAUGCUCUGUAAUUAGUGUGUGAUUCGGGCCUUGUGUGAACACAGACAGGCGCCCUGGAAGAAGCCAAGCACAGGAGGACCAGCUUUCUCCAGAGAUGCGGAGCCCUCCUCCCUGCCUUGCUGAACUUUAGGCUUUGCUACAAGCCCAAAAGGGCUGAAAUCCCACUGACCAGUCUCAGGCACCUCCCUGGCUUUAAUCCCUCCUGUAGAAAAGCAGUGUCACCCAUCCAUCCACCCACCCCCCAUCCUCCAUCCAUCUGUACCACAAAUACCCUGUUCUCCUGGGGACACAGCCCGAGCUGCAGUGCAGCCCCAUCCACUGCCACACCUGCCAGUACUCAACCCUCUGCAGACAUCCCCAACAUCCACUUCCCUUGGGAAUGCGAGGCAGAGAGAGCCCCAGCCAGCCAGGGAGCCUCUAUCUGGGUUGAGGGCAUGGGCUGGCUUAACCCUGGUGGGGGGCCUGCAGUUGUGGGGCCAGGUAUUGCCUUCUCUGGGCCAGAAGGGGUUAACAGAGGCACCGGCAGUGCCUCAGUUCUAGCCAAAGACACUCAGCCAAAAGUGGCUUGUGCGUCAGCAGGGCCCACAGCGCGACUCACUCUGAGGACAGCCUGGAGUGAUUCAUUGAGAGCCAGAGAGAAAGAGGGGGUGAGAAAGGAGGUACUUGAAGAGCCAGGAUGCCAAGGGGGCAGAUGCCAACACGCUGUGCUAAGGUGCAGAGGGCAGGGUGGUCCAGAGCCCCACAGGGCCGGCAGGCGGGGGGCCCCUCCCUGGGCUGGGGAACAGAAGGCUGCAGCCGUCGCCCCAUGGCUACAGCCUGAGCCAACCAUGAACCCCUGCCACACAACCUUGAGUCAGAAGGCAGUGCCUAUCCCAGCUCUGCUGCCACCCUGCGGGGUGCCUGGCACCUGUCCCCAGCCUCAGUUUCUUCUCUGUGGAGUGAGGGGCUGGGCGUGUCCACCUGGGAAGCCAGAGGCCAUGGAUUUCACACUCAGGCUUCCCCUUUUAGACCAGACCUCCCUUCCCGUUCCAGUGCAGGUGCAGGUGCUUGUGCCUAGGAGGGGCACAAAGUCAGCACCUUCUGAGAGUCAUUGUCAGGGGUAAAAUGGGAUGUCUCACCUUCAAAACAGGUUUUUGGACAUUUAUUUGGUGCCCACUGUGCUCCAGGAGCUGGGAUGCAUAAGGAGCUGACAGCCCCUGGGGAGAGAUUAUGUAAUUGAGUGCAUAGUAAAUGUUUAAUAAGCAACAGUUGCUAUCAUUUAUGUUGUCCUCAAGGUUCCUUGAGGCCCCUAGACCAGUUUUUCAUACAGGAGUCACUUGUGGCUGAUUGAAUCAGUGGCAUCGAGUUGGAGACAUUUUUCCUGCAUGGCAAGUGUGACCCAAGGAGGAGGUAUAGUGAGCCUGGCAGAGGGCUGGCCAUUGCUUCAUCCAGCUUCGUUCCCAAGCCCAGAUUGGCUCCUACGGACCCAGAAACAGUGCUCAAGAAGUGGUGAUGACCCUUCCCAGAGAACUAAUGGUGAUAAUCCCAGCCAAAGGGGCCACAGUGCCCAGGAUGUGCUGGGCACUGGUCUAAGCCUUUGCCUCUGAACUCAGUUUAAUUUUUACAACAGUCCCUUAAGGGAGAGAUAAUACUAUUCGCAUUUCACAGAUAGGGAAGUCAAGGCUCAGAAAAGCUUAAGUAACUUCCCCAAGCUCACACAGCUAGUAAGUGGUAGGACUGGAACUCAGACCCAGAUAGGCCGGCUCUAGAGUCUGUGCCCUAAGCAUUAUGGAGUGCUUGCUCUGGGUUAUUAAUAAUUGCUGUAGUUUUGACAGCUGUCAUUUGAAUUAUAAUUGAUGGCCUUUCAUGGGGUCUUGCUAAAUGCAUUUUCUCAUCUGAUCGCUGCCAUUUUUAUUUCCUCGUAGCACUGAAUGCAGCUUGAUGUUACUCACGUAAUCAUUUCCUGUCUGUCACCCCCACCCCGUGUGACUGAAAACUCUCGGGAGAUUGUGCUUUGCUCAGCGCCUUAACUGCAGCAUCUGAAACAUAGCGGGUGCUGUUUGCAUGUCUGCUGCAUGGUGGAUGAGUCUCUCUUUUUUUCUGCUAAAGGAACCAACGUUUAGAGCAGUUAACUGGCUUGCUCGGUGUCGCACAGGAGGUAAGUCGUACAGCAGGGUCUGCAGUACUGCUGUGCAUUCACUUCCAGCCAGGCCCUGUGCUGGGAAAGCCAAAAGGGGGACAGAGUGAAAGUCGUGGCAUGGACUGGGACCGGCGUCCAUGGCCCUUCUCCGCCUUCCCAGUUUCCUCGUGCAGCAGCUAAGGGGGUGCCGUCUUUCUCCUGGAGGCUGCGAGGGAAGGACAUCUGCCUUCUGCUGAGAAUCCCCUGGUCCCUGGCCACUCGAUCCCGCUCCUCCCUGCCAGGUCUCCCUCGAGCUCUGAUGGCCACCGAACCCACACUCCCUGGGAGGUUACCGGUCAUGUUUUUGUGUGCUUGUGCCUUUGUCUUUCGGUUCCUUGACAGAUUUAUAGGCCUGUCAGUGGAGACGCUCUGUGAAGUACACAGGGGACAGAUGUGUCUUGGUGCUUCCUGGAGACCUUUAUCUCCGGGGCGCUUUCUGCUAUCCUGCGCUCAUAGUGUUUCAUUGACUUUGGCCAAGCAAGCCCCUGCUCAGCAUUAUUGACCAAGCAAGCCCCUGCUCAGCAUUAUUGACCAAGCAAGCCCCUGCUCAGCAUUAUUCUAACAUUUUGUUGACUGAUGGCCCAGGAGUUCUGCAGAGGAACCCCAGGAAGCUAGGGAUGAGGCAGGAGCAAAGGGAGCCGUCUUCGGGGACUGGAGAGGUCCUCCUGUCCAUUAGCUACCUCCCGGCUGCCAACCGCCUCCUGGUGGUGCUGAUCAAAGCCAAGAACCUCCACUCCAACCAGUCCAAGGUGCUCCUGGGCAAGGGAACCCCCGCACAGGACCCAAGUCUUGAGAUCAAGGCGGGCUCUCGUAUCUGAGUAGGAAGACAGCUGGGUUAGCCAGAUAAUACCUGGACUGGGGACCAAGUGCUCAUAGCUGGAGAGAAACGCAUCUGUAUUAGUAGCAGGAUACAAAUAAAGCAUUGCCAUUAUGUACAGAAUCUUUAAGCAAAAAGUUUUGGACAAAUGAAAUCAGAAGGGUUAAUCUUGUUGGCAGAUUCCCAAGCCAAAGAUGUCUCAGUCAAGGUGACCUUGAAGCACCAGGCUCAGAAGCUGAAGAAGAAGCAGACGAAACGGGCCAAGCACAAGAUCAACCCUGUGUGGAACGAGAUGAUCAUGUUCGAGCUGCCUGACGACCUGCUGCGGGCCUCCAGUGUCGGAGCUGGAGGUGCUGAGCCAGGAUGAGGCUGGGCAGAGCUGCACCCUCGGUCACUGCAGCCUGGGCCUGCACACUUCCGGCUCAGAGCGCAGCCACUGGGAGGAGAUGCUCAAAAACCUGCGCCGGCAGAUUGCCAUGUGGCACCAGCUGUGCCAGUAGCCGGGCCCUUGCGGGGACACGGGCCCCUCCUCCAGCCCCAGCUGUCCCGUGCAACCUCCUCUGUCCCCACCCUCAUUCUGAGACAGACUGGGACCCGCGCUUCCUCUCUGGCCACACUCCUGUUUCGAAAGGGCAAGUGUGGAAAUGGGACAUCGGGUCGCACAAGGAGAGCACCUUGCUCCUCUGUGCUAUGGGAAGAGCUGUCUACCAGACAAUCCUGUGCAGGACUUGCAAGUGUGGGAAGCCAGAUGCAGGGGGAGCUUAAUUCAGGGAAUUGUGGAUGCAAAGAGGUUCCUAAAAAUAAGUAUUGCAACAAGAAUGAAGGAGAAAUGAUCCUGGAUCAACUCAAAGAGUUAGAAGUGGUCUGGGUGGGAUGAAACCAACCCCCGCCAAGCAGCUGUAGGACGUUAGUGUGUAGAGACUCACCCGCCAGCUCCUGGGCCGCCAGUGAGUUCCAGGUCAGAGAUUCGGGCCAAGCCUCUUCCUCAGUCCUUCUAAGCACUGAGAGAUUCCAAGGCAGAGGUGGGAGGACGUGGAGGGGUUCUGUCUACAACAUUCUACGUGGGCUUUCAACCUCUGUCUGCUAUGGGGCCCCAACACCUGGAGGCAGCGACCCCAACCCUGGGCACCUCAACCCUGUGUGUGAACUCAAAGCCUCCAUUUUUGAUUUAACUCUUAAUGUUGAAAUGUGUGCUUUUUCCAGGUCCUGCUCUUGGGCUGCAUUUUGUGAUUUUUAUUGAAGGACUGUAUUGUUUUAUCUUGAAAUUGGCUUAUAUUGUGUGUGAGGAGACCUUCUUCCACAAAGUAUAGGUGGGAUCCUCACUCUGUUGGUUAUUGGGCUGGAUUCUGAGCAUUAGUUGUCACAUCUACCAGCAUUACCAAAGUGACCCUGUGCAACAGAUCCAUUCCUUCUCUGCAUUCCAGCUGCUUCCGGAGGAAGUUAAUUAUGAACUUGGUCUACUCCAUUUGGCUGCAGGAACAUGGAGAGGAAAGACAACUUUAUAAAGGAGUGAGGUCUUUUGCAGACAUGCCUCCCUCCCUGGGUUUGGGGGUCCUUAAAACUUUAACCAGUAAAUAGCUAGCAGCUAGAUUUUUACUUUCUACCUGUUAUUCCCAAAUCAUUGUCCCCACUGUGAUUAAAUCUACAUGAAGGUGGUCAUACUACUCAUCAGGAACUGGAUUGCUGGGUUCUGCUGCUCUCACUGCCCUUCACAAGCUUAAUGUGGCCAUCUGUCAAGUAGGGCUAACAUCCUGGGAUCUUAUCUGUGUGCAUGAUAUGGUAGGUGAGAAAGUGUUCAAAAAGUUGAAGGUAUUCCUCAGCUAAGAACAAACUCCGAGACCACUAGCAGGUCACCUUUAAGCUAGGUUACUGUCUUUCACGUCAAGCUGGGAGCUGAGAAUGCCUAGAAAGUGUCAGACCUGCUCAAAUAUUUCCAGAACCAUGGAUUCUGCAUUUGAACUUCUUUCUAUUAAUAGUCAAACUCUGGGCCCUCCGAUGUCAGCCCCAUUCUCUGAUGGAAGGGAGGAUUCCUGGAUGAGCUGUCUAAGCAUCAUUCUUCUUAAAUUCAGUUGUUCUCGGCCUCUCCUUGAGCAGAGCCUUCAUACUCUUUUGUCAUUAUUUGCUCUUUCUAUACAGAAAUGGGAAAGCACUAGAAAUAACUUCUACCCACUCUGUGGAAACAGAAAAAAAUAUAUAAUCCCUCUUUAAUGGGCAGGUCUUUCAGAUAAUUGGAAACCUUGAUCUUUCAGGUUGACCCACCCUUGUUCCAAGUGUUUUUUCAAAGGUGCAGUAUUGUCUUUGGUUUCCAAAAAUGUGUUUCUGAGUUCACCCUCUCUGCCCUGGUCUCUUCUUUUUGGUUGGCAUGGCAAAAAGAGAACAAAAUAUUCCCCAGGUCACCUGAAAGCUGGCCAGCAUCUUCUUUAACAUGCGCUAUCUAGAAACAUGAGUUCCACUUCCCUAUAAAUCAAAGCACUGCUUAUAGUCCCACCAAAGAACAUUUGAAGAGUGCUGGACAGGGCCCCCUGGCCCAGAGCAUCAAUGCCACCCAAAGUCAACCCAUUCAUUUCUUUGGAUCUCAAAGGUUUAGUUUUCCAGAAUGAAAGCUAAAGGCUGCUCCUGAUAGGGGUCACAUUAUACCAUAGGACAUUUUAGGUGCCAUUGUCACCCCACUUGGCAGAGAGGCACAGAAAUGGCAUAGGCUCUGCAGGGGCCUCAUUUGGAUGUUCACUGGUGGAUUCCAAAUGCCUAGGAUAAAGCUGUCUUAUGGGGCUCCAACAGGGCUUGCUGGAUGAAUGAAUGAAUGAUGGGAGAGGUGUCACCAGAAAAGGACACAGCACAUGGCAGAACAAGGAGAGCCCUGGCUGAGUUGACAAUGGUAAAGAUGUCAGUUGACUCAACAGUUAGCCUGGAAAUUCAUGACAUUGAGUAUUAGCAUUCACUCAACAACAGUCAAAGGUCUCCAUGUAAAUGGAUUUAACAAAAAAGAGAAUAUAAUUGCCAUACUUUCCCACCCAAACUCCAUUCUGGUGAAUUUUAAAUUACCCAAAGAUGUCAGACUGCCAAAUCAAAAAAUUUUGGUAAUCUUUGCCUCGGUUUACCUUGUACCAGACACACUUGCAAUUUACCUUUUAAUUAGAGUGAUGAAGUCUGUGUGAACAUAUUUGAUAAUUUUUGAAAGGGUUACCUUGUUCUAUGUAGGGAAGCAUUUUCUAAGAAAGGUGUGAAGCAGAGGUAAAAACAAAGAGUCUGUUUCAGGCUGGGCUGUCACCCAAGAGGGGACCUGUUUCUUUCUUAGAGACAGCCACGGGCUUGGAGGAUUAAGGAUCCACCUUCAUUUGUUGGUGACUUCACUUCUUGAGCCAUCAGUCUGUACUUGUUGAGUCCUGUUCCUCAAGACUUUGCAUGUGUCUGUCCCUUCCAAUUUCAGAUGUGACUCUUGGUCUGGGUUGUGUGACAAACCACCCUAAUUGAAGCUAGGCAGAGGGAGUGGGGGGAACAGGAGUGCUGUUCUUUGGGACCACUUGGAAAGGAGUCCUGGAUGGAAGGUGGAUGCAGCCUAAGCCAAAUGGACAAGGUGAGGACAGGGAAAAGAGACCUAGUCCUUGUGAUUUGUUGCUGCCUUUGCUGUUUCCUGUUGUCAAUUGCUCUGUGUGUGUGUUAGUGUGUGUGUGUGUUUGUGUGUGUUUUGCUAUCAUGAACUGAAGCACAAAUAGAGGCAUGAGACAUUGUAGUCAUGUAUUCCGUGUCACACUCUGGAGCAAAACUAGUGCAGUGGUAAAUAAAUAACUUCCAACAGGG